ensembl:lncRNA
GGUUUUUAAUUUUAAAAUGACUGCCUUUCAGCAAUGGCAUUAACAUCGUGAGAAAGCAAACAGAAUGAUUCACGGAAAUGCCUUUUCCCGGCUUUCUCCCCUGACACCAGCGUGCGGGCUCCUUUCCCACCAUCUUAGAGGCACUGGGAGGUUGUGAAGGAUUUUCUCUCCAGCGUGCGAGGACUCCGCCUGAGACUUAGGACGCCCGCUCUCCCCGGGCGCCUCUCCCCGCCUCUGAUGGAUUAACACCAGCCCCGGGCGGUGGGAGGCCUGCGGGUGGGGCCGAGCCCCCGCCCUCCGCCUGUCCCGGCGCUGUGUCUCCUCGCAUGCAACAGUCUGUCGUGACACCAGCCAGGCGCAGCCAGCACCUCGCGGGGCCGCGUCCCCGGCCCGCGCGCUCGGCUCCUCCUCCUGCCGGCGACUCUCCCGGCGGGGACCAGGCGGCGCCCGCACUCGCCGCGCCCGGGCGGCUGGCGCUGUCCCGCCGGAUCAGGCCAAGGAGCCCCCGAGUUAGAGGAGAGCCGCCGGCCCCGGAAGGAAGGACAGGUGCCUUAGCUUAAAGUCCCCAAGUGUGGGCGCCGGGCCCUGAGGAAGCCAGACAUGCUGCGGCUGGACGCAGGGCGCUGAUGAUCCGCCGGCUCGGCAGCACCAUGCCUUUCCCGCCCGUGCCGCCGCCGCCGCCCGCCCCGGCCCCGGGGGUCCCCGCGGCGCGCCCGCCGCCCCGGAGGCCCGGCAUCCCCCGGAAAGCGGCGGCGCCCGCCUGCGCCCCGCCCGGGCCCUCGCCGCCCGCCGCGGCGGGGAGAAGAAGAAGAGGCCCCCCGAGCGGCCCGAGGGGCUGCUGUCCAGCUCCUGGCCCUCGGCCACCCUGAAGCGGCCGCCGGCCCGCCGCGCCCCGGGCCCGGCCCCUCCGCGCGCCCCGCCCCAGGCCGCGCCCUGCCGGCCGCGCGCCCCCGCCGCCUGCGCCCCGGCCCGGCCGGCCGGCUCCGGCCACAGCCCCGCGGGGGCCACCGCCUCGGGGGCGCGGACCGCCGGCUCGGGGACGGCCGCGGGGGCAGGGCCCGACGACGCGCUGCGCUUCUCCCUGAGCCUCACCCCCGAGGCCGUGCUGCUCAUCCAGAGGCGCCACAUGGAGAAGCAGCUGCUGGCGCGGCCCCGGCGGCCGCUCCCCUCGCCCUCGGCCGACGCCAGGCGGCUGCUCGCCCCCUGCCCCCGGGCCACGGCCGCGGGUCUCUCGCGGCGCCCGGCUCCGCCCGGCGGCCUGCAGGCCCUCGACCUCGGGCCGCGGCCCGCCGACCUGCGCCCGGUGCUCAAGGUGUCGCUGCUCAACGAGCGGCACAAGUACGACGACGUGGAGUACGAGGAGGAGGCCGAGGUGGUGGACGAGGGCCUGGUCCGCAAGUGCACCGAGUGGCUGCGCGGCGUGGAGUCGGCGGCCGGUCGCGCCGGUCCCCUGGACGCGCUGCCGCACCUGAGCACGCUGUGACCCGAAGGACGGACGCCUCCCGAGGCCGGCUCCCGCCUCCUGGCACCUGUGAGCCAGGUGACGCUGCACGCCCACCUCCCUGCGCCUGGGAGCCAGGUGGGCUUCCUAGUCCCCGCCGCUGCCUCCUGGCCACACUGUGGCACCUGAGCACCUGUGUGCCAGGUGGGCCUGGUGGGACGAGAGGGUCUCACUCGACGCUCACCGCCCACCCCCUGGACGUGCUGCUCCACCCGGGCGCCCUAGGGGGAGACACAGACAGCCUCGCCGACCCCCAUGGCCCACCUCCUGCCCAGGCGCCUCCCCGCUCCCCAGCCGGACAGCCGACGCCCCUCCCUCUCCACACUGGUGGUCUCGACCCCACAAGUCUGCCUUCUGCACCAUCCUGGUGUCCUUGCCUCGUGGGGGUGUAAGCAGCGGUGAAAACGCCUCUCCGCCCUGGUCCCCUCAGGUUCGUUGAGGCCCUCUGCUGCGGAGUCCUCGGUAGGCGGGUGUCACUCUCUGCAGGUGCUGGGCCGGGGUGCCCCGGUCUGAACAGUGGGUGACAGCCACGAGGAGGGAUGGGGGACCAGGAGCGCGGGGUCUGUUGCACAACCGGACGUGGCGCUGCAUUUGUGAUUUUGUUUCUUCUCGAAAGAAGAGACGUUGCGGGUAUUGGAAAGCCUGAAAAUGGAAGGUAACCGAAUGUUCGAACUCGGAAGGCGAAGGGGCUAGCCCACCAGGAGCUAGCCCACCUGGUGGAUGGACGUAGUGAUGGCAACGGUGCCAUGCUCACGACACGACUCUCCGCGGGCUGCGUGCUCUGCGGGCCUCUCUGCCAGCCGCGGGCAAGUCUGCCCCACACACACUCUCACACACACGUACAUGCUCACAUGCUCACGGAUGCUUACCCUUACACUCACACACUUACACUUGCUCACGCAAUGCUCUCACGCACACUCUCUCCCACUCAUACACACACACACACUCACACUCACGCUCACACAUGCAUGUGCACAAACACACACACCAUGCCUACCCUCGCACAAACUCAUUUGCUUACAUGCUCACACACACCCUCACACACUUGCCCUCACACAUUCACACGAGUGCACACACAUGCUCACUCACGCUCACACACAUACGCACCCUUACACACAGUCAUACUCCUGCACACACACGUAUACAUACAGUGCCCUCACACUCACACGUACUCAUGCUUACAUGCAUACACACCCUCACACUCGCUCUCACACGCAUGCACACACUUUCUCACACAGCCUCACACACUUGCUCUCACACAGAUACACACUCACACACAGUCUCACACUCACACACACACACACACCCACACAGGUCUUCUCAAGCACAGCUGCAGGCGUUGUUUUCAGUGGCUGCGUUGAGGUGCGAGCGGGAGCGAGGGGCAGCUUCUGGUGAAAUUUGUUUGUAUUUGAAGCGCUGCUCACAAAAUACCUUUUGUGCUCCAGAAAGAAGGAGUAACCAGAGGAGAGGGGAAGAAUGCAGAAAGCUGUCCCCAGACGUGGAACAAAACGUCCUGGGCUGGAGGAGCGAUUCCUUUGAGGGAGAAAGCGGGGAGGGAGUUCCUGGGGGUCACGGGGUAGAUGUGUGCGUUUUCCGUACUUUUAAUCAGUGUGUGAAAAUCGUAGUGGCUUUGUACCGUGGUAUAUAGUGAUUUUAAAAAGAAGAAAAUUUCUAUUUAUUAUUUGAGUAAAGAGUAAAACUCCUCUGCCUUAUAGGAGACAUACCCUUCCCGGCUAACUCCAGGCUGAUUUCUAGAUCUUUCCUCCUUGGGUCAGAGUGUAUUUAACUCUAAGAUUGAGAAGGAAAAAAAGUGCUAUAAUCAGAUAAGGCUGAUUAUAGAAGAGUAAUGUAUUACCUCAAUUUUUGACUUAUUUUGUAAAAGUCAAUAACUACUUUAAUGUUUAUCUCGUUAGACUUUAACGUGUCAAGUCUUAAUUAUAUUUUCCAUUGAAGCCUUACAUUUUUGAAAACCGAUUUUCUAUUUUUCUCGUGGAGGUCUUUGCUCUAAUCUCUCUCCCUCCCUCUCUCCCUCUCUCUCUCUCUCUCUGUCUCUUUCUCUCUCUCUCUCUCUCUCUCUCUCUCUCGUGCUAGGCACAAAUUGAGUUAGACAGGAAGCACUGAGUUCCCUGGGAGCUAGAUCAGCCACCAGAUGAGUUGCCAGAACAAAAACCCUCCCCACUGAAUAGCUUUUCUUCUCUGACCCCUGUUUGAAUGCAGAGAGCUAGAUUGCUUUUAUUUAAAAUGAGCGUAUUAAUCCCAGAGAGGCAAAGUUAGCGACCGUGAGGAGGUGAAAUUGAGACUCAAGCCCUGUGAUGCUCUGGCUGCCCCACCUCCCCCACCCCAUGGCAUCUGCCGCUCCAGUCCUGGGGGAGGAGGUCCCCUCUGGACGUGCCCCAGCAGGUUGGGAGUGAACUGACUGUGAGGUCAAGGUGCGCAGCAUCAUAACAUGGUCUCUUUUGCACUGGGUGCGAAUAUCAAUAGUUAAGAGGCCCGGGUUUCUGCCCAUCGUUCCAAUAGCAACAAGGUUUUUAAAGACUUUCCUAAAGUCGUUAACUUUGCUGAGCAUCUGUUCCUGUCUUCCUGUGUCUUCUGGGUCAUGUUGCUGUUACAGUGUGUAGGUCCCUCUCUUCCCCUGCAAGUCUAUCUCCAUGUCCCUGUCACUUUCUUUCUUUCCUUUCCUUUCCUCACCCUCUCUCUGUCUCUGGGUCCCCUCCCCAUCUCUCCCUCUUAGCUGGCCACAGGACGACACGAAGCACUUUUUCCUCGUUUGCAUUUGUGGGAUGGAGUUUUGUGUGCCUUGUUCUUUGGUCUGAAAAGCCGAUGAGUGGAACACGAAUGUUGCCCUGGUUGAUGACCCUUAAUAAAAAACGAGAAAGGUUCUGCGCAUGAUACGUGAUGUCUAUUCAUGCUGUUACUGUUUGAGAAGGUUUUCUAAGUCGCUAUGCUACAAUUUCUUAAUGUUUUGAAUAAAAGAGAAAUUCAUUGCCUUGUACUUCUUCUUGAGGAGGAUGUUAAAAACUGGUCAGGAAGAGAUCACCGAGGCAUUUAGAAUUCGUCUGAGGUGGUCUCUCCUUAGUGCUGCCCCAUCUGAGGUUCUGGAACUUCCAGGGGUUGACAAAGGUUCAUUGGCCUUAAUUACUGCUAGAAAUUACCAGGAUUUUAAGAAUUCUAAUGAUAAUCAAAUAUUAUCAUAAUAAGGCUGUUUGGCACUGGUACUUAACCUUUUGUACAACCUUCUGAUACAGCCCCCAAGAGAGCUGUAUUCCAGUAUACGCCUAAGAAUAUGCACCACCUAUCAAGAGAAAUGUGCAUGUGUUUUGUGAAGCUCAUGGACCCCAGAUUAAGAACUCCUUCUUUUUUUUUUUUUUUUUUUUGAGGAAGAUUAGCCUGAGCUAACAUCUGCCACCAAUCCUCCUCUUUUUGCUGAGGAAGACUGACCCUGAGCUAACAUCCAUGACCAUCUUCCUCUACUUUAUAUGUGGGACGCCUGCCACAGCAUGGCUUGAUGAGCGGUGCCAUGCCCGCACCUGGGAUCCGAACCGGCGAACCCUGGGCCACCAAAGUGGAAUGUGUGCACUUAACCACUGCGCCCCCGGGCCGGCCCCAACAACUCCUUCUAUGUACACUCACUAGAACAUUUUUCUUUUAGUGAAAGUAUUUUAAGCUGGUAGCUCAUAUCAAUCAGAAGUUAAAGGUUCAAUUUGAAUAAUGGUGAGGACUAUUGGAUUACUCAAACGGGGUAUGUCACUUAAUAAAUGUGGUUUGUGUUUCAAAUCUUUGAGUCCAUGGGAAGAAAAGUAAUAAAAUGUGUCCAUGGAAGUAAGAAGGUAGGAACGAUGCUCUCUCUGCAUCAGUAGUGGUAUUAUCAUUAAAUUCUCCCAUCACAGGAGUUGGGGGCUCCCACCCCAGAGGAUUAAGCUUCCUAAAUUGUAGUGAGAGAUCAUGGAACGUCAGUAAGUGGACGUGCAUGUGAAAUCCCCGAGGUUGAGCGCAGAUGGCUUAAUGUCCUGUAGUCAGGGAAUACUCUGGCACUUUAAGAUGGGUUUUAUGUUGAUCCGCUUUAUUUCCAGAAAAAGUAGAUGCCAUAAGUCAGAAACUAUAGUUCUGUGGUUUCCCGGAAGUCGCACAUCUCUGUUGAAGGUGGUGAUCUGUGGGAUCUGGUAUGUUACACUGACUCUGAAACCAUAAUUUGGUACCAUCGAUUUUGGGAUGGAAAUUUCAGCCAACAGUGGUGUGUCCUUCAAGGCAAGCCCUGAACUAACAGUCUAUGUGAAAUAAGCAAUAAGAACACUUGUGCGUUACCAGAACUGCUCUCAAAUGCCUUUGCAACCUGUGGAUGCCCGGAGUGGCCCAGUGCAGACCCGCAGAGCCUUUGUCCAGAUGCUGACCGGUUCAGAGGAUGCUGCCUCAGGGGCCGGGGAUGGUGGUGCCACGCCCAGCUUAGAGACUGAGCACCUUCCCUGGACCGUCUGGGAGUAGGUACCUCACUGAGGUUAAAUGUGGCCUUUAGAGCCUUGGAGACUAGAGUUCCCAUACUGACAUUGUCCUUUGUCAGCCGUCUCUCAUUAAACCGUCUCCUCUUCAUACAAUGGGGAUGAGACAACAUGGCGGAUCCCAUGAGGAGUAUGAUGGCGUGUGUGUAAAGCAUUUGGGACAACACCUGCACGUCACCAGCUCAAGGUCACCUGUAAUUAUUACCACCUCAAAAAAUCUUCACUAAUCAAAAAACGUCAUUCUCUGGCACUUAUAUGUGCAAAAUCAACCCCUUCCUGGCUACAGUAUUCUGAGGUUUUUCUCUCCAACCAUUUAAUGCACACCUGUGGUGGGGGCUAUAAUCGUAUUUCCCUGAGGAAUUUAAAAAUAAAAAUAUCUAUUGUGUUUUACCAUCUCAUUUCAAACUGAUUUAUUAUUUAUGCCCUGAACACAAAAUUUAGCUCUGAGCUUUCUAGUAGCGAAGUCAAAAUUAAAAAUAGUGAGUUAAGUAAUAUCAAUAUCUAAUAACAAGAAACACUAACACAUUAAAAGACAUAAACUUUUUCUUAGAGACAAUUAUUUUUGUGUCAUGUUUAUAUUUAUAUUAUAUACAAUAUAAUGGAUGGUGUCCCUAAUGCAGUUUCUGGAGGAUGCAUAAAUGUUUUUAUAUCACUGUUGGUUCUCCAUGAAAGUCAGUGGGAUACUCAUCAGCUGCAUUCUCUGCUGUCUUGGGCCAUUCUACCUUAUGGAAGUGGAUUGUAUGGAAACCUGCAAAAAAUGGUAGUGAAUCUUUAAGAAGUAGUUUUAGAUAUAUUCAAAUAUUUAGCAAAUACUGGCCUAAAACCCCAGAAAAUUGUCUGUACAUCAGUUCCUAAACUUUUUGGUCUCAAGACCCCUUCAUACUCUUAAAACUUAUUGAGGGAAGCACAGAGCUUAUGUUUACAUGGAUUACGUCUACCAACCCUUCCUGUAUUAGGAAUAAAAACCAAGACCCUCAAAGUGUCCAGGGACCCUCAAAAGUCUUUGGGUCACGCUUUGAGAACCCCUGGUUUCUACCAUAUAUAUAUCAGUUCCUAAUGCCCGUCAUCUGUGCUGAAAUGAACAGCUGAAAUACUGGGGAAACAUUUUCAGACGCGGAUGAUCCAGACCCCAACCUAGAGAUCCUAGUUCGGUAGACCUGGGAAGGGGCUCAGGAGAGGCUGGUGUGCAGUGGAGUUCGGGAACCACUGCUCUAAAGCAAGAAAUACAGGGUGGGACUCAGCAAAUACUUGAGGCGGAUCUUACAAAUUGUGUGUUCUGCCAUCAGAGACCCUGAACGUUACUGUAUCAGAAUAUGAGAAUCUCCCUUUCUGGGUGUCAUGCUCUCUUCCCCAGCCACGUGUUAUUCACGGCAUGUGGAGGAUAACUCAGUGACCAGAAUGAUGAAAGUUAUCACACAUCAGUUUUAUUUGCCCGUUGGCUCAGCAUGGCCAUGGGACAAUGGCGCUGGGUCAUACUGGACAUCCCCCUUUUGGAAGCUUCAUCUCAGACCCUCCUCUCCCAGAGUUCCACGCUGACUGAGGUUCCAAGCCUUCGCUAGGCUACCUCUGUAAUCAUCAUUAUCAUUGCCUCCAGAUGAACGCUUACAAUCAUAUCACUUUGAUAGCUCUAUCCCAUAACAUUACCAGAGGGGUGGGCCUGCUCUGAGGACCACAGACACGCAGCCCUGCGUAUUGAAAAGCCACCUCCAAAUAGUGUACAAAUUUUUUUCUGAUUUUAUGAGCAAACUCUAAUAAGUAUUAAUAGAAUAUUUUACUUUGAACAGGAUAGCAUCCCAGUGGGCCCAGAAUAAUUCAUUUCUUCAGCAAAUAUUUAUCCUGCUUCUACUGGAUGAGAGGUACCUGGGAUAUGAGACUAAUUAGACACUGUUCCCUCUAUAACUUAAUGAGUUGACCUGUGAAAAGGUGUAAUUUAGGGUACUAUCUGCUGGGGCUGGCCCCCUGGCCGUGUGGUUAAGUUCGCACACUCUGCUUGGGUGGCUCAGGGUUUCGCUGGUUUGGAUCCUGGGCACAGACCUAGCAUCACUCAUCAGGCCAUGCUGAGGCGGCGUCCCACAUAGCAGAGCCAGAAGGAUCUACAACUAGAAUCUACAACUAUGUACCGGGGGCUUUGGGAAGAAGAGGAAGAAGAAGAAGAAGAAAGAUUGGCAACAGAUGUUAGCUCAGGUACCAAUCUUUAAAAGGAAAGGACAUGUCUGCCAAGAGCAAUGAUUUUGGUGGAGGACAACUGACAUUGAGUUGCUCUUUCUGACAGCGAUUGGUCUAUAUUGUUCUGCUCGGGCUGCCCUAACAGAAUACCACAGACUGGCCGGCUUCAACAGCAGUGGGGCCAGAUAAAAAGAUGGGAAAUGUGACGUUAGAGCUUCGGUAUAGAUAAAUCCUACACAUCGCUAAAAAUACUAGAGACACAUAGGCAGAGUCAACGUUGAAGAGCAAAUCCUGUACACUUAACACCACAGUAAUUCCACAUGGGUCCUGGGGUCGGCAGAGGGGGGAUGUGGCCUCCCCGCUUCCCUGCGUUUGUGUCACACGUCCAGGAAAAUGGCUCUGCAAAUCUGCUCUGGACGUCCUGCCAGCAUGGACUCGACACUUUGUCGCUUUAUGAAUGGAGGGGCCAGUACCCUUCAAGUUAAGAUGAUUGUAGAGAGAUUACAGAAAGUGACCUAGAUUUUAUUAUUUCGUCACACAACAGAGUUUGGGAUGGAAUUGCGUGGUUUCUAUGAUGAAAGCAUGAGUUUCAUUUCAUAUUCCAG